rnacentral:rRNA from 1 species
UGGGGGAUAUUGCACAAUGGGGGGAACCCUGAUGCAGCGACGCCGCGUGAGGGAAGACGGUUUUCGGAUUGUAAACCUCUGUCUUUAGGGACGAAAAAAAUGACGGUACCUAAAGAGGAAGCCACGGCUAACUACGUGCCAGCAGCCGCGGUAAUACGUAGGUGGCAAGCGUUGUCCGGAAUUACUGGGUGUAAAGGGAGCGUAGGCGGGGAGGCAAGUUGAAUGUUUAAACUAUCGGCUCAACUGAUAGUCGCGUUCAAAACUGCCACUCUUGAGUGCAGUAGAGGUAGGCGGAAUUCCUAGUGUAGCGGUGAAAUGCGUAGAUAUUAGGAGGAACACCAGUGGCGAAGGCGGCCUACUGGGCUGUAACUGACGCUGAGGCUCGAAAGCGUGGGUAGCA